rnacentral:rRNA from 1 species
GUUAAGUUAUUAAGGGCGCACGGCGAAUGCCUUGGCACUAGGAGCCGAAGAAGGACGGCCCUAACACCGAUAUGCUUCGGGGAGCUGUAAGUGAGCUUUGAUCCGGAGAUUUCCGAAUGGGGGAACCCACUACGUUUAAUCGCGUAGUAUCUUGACGUGAAUACAUAGCGUCUUGAAGGCAGACCCAGGGAACUGAAACAUCUAAGUACC